rfam:Gossypium hirsutum cultivar TM-1 chromosome 12, whole genome shotgun sequence
AUCCCGUGGUGAGGACAUUAUCAUAGUAGCUCUUUAAAUAUUUCUCAUGUCUUGUAUAAGGAUUCAUCAUCCAAUUGUUGAAAAUUUGUGAUCUCAUUCUGAAACU